UCAGACCGGGGUACUCAAAAUGGGAGUGCUUGCCGUUAAUUUUGGACUGGAAAGUGCUUCCAUUUCGAGUAUCACUGUUUGG
rnacentral:pre_miRNA from 1 species